rnacentral:rRNA from 1 species
GACGAACGCUGGCGGCGUGCCUAAUACAUGCAAGUUGAGCGCUGAAGGUUGGUACUUGUACCAACUGGAUGAGCAGCGAACGGGCGAGUAACGCGUGGGGAAUCUGCCUUUGAGCGGGGGACAACAUUUGGAAACGAAUGCUAAUACCGCAUAAAAACUUUAAACACAAGUUUUAAGUUUGAAAGAUGCAAUUGCAUCACUCAAAGAUGAUCCCGCGUUGUAUUAGCUAGUUGGUGAGGUAAAGGCUCACCAAGGCGAUGAUACAUAGCCGACCUGAGAGGGUGAUCGGCCACAUUGGGACUGAGACACGGCCCAAACUCCUACGGGAGGCAGCAGUAGGGAAUCUUCGGCAAUGGACGAAAGUCUGACCGAGCAACGCCGCGUGAGUGAAGAAGGGUUUCGGAUCGUAAAACUCUGUUGGUAGAGAAGAACGUUGGUGAGAGUGGAAAGCUCAUCAAGUGACGGUAACUACCCAGAAAGGGACGGCUAACUACGUG